GACGAACGCUGGCGGCGUGCUUAACACAUGCAAGUCGAACGGAAAGGCCCUGCUUUUGUGGGGUGCUCGAGUGGCGAACGGGUGAGUAACACGUGAGUAACCUGCCCUUGACUUUGGGAUAACUUCAGGAAACUGGGGCUAAUACCGGAUAGGAGCUCCUGCUGCAUGGUGGGGGUUGGAAAGUUUCGGCGGUUGGGGAUGGACUCGCGGCUUAUCAGCUUGUUGGUGGGGUAGUGGCUUACCAAGGCUUUGACGGGUAGCCGGCCUGAGAGGGUGACCGGCGAGACGGGAGCUGGGGCAGGGGCGAGACGGCUAGGGGAGGGAGCAGUAGGGAAGCGGCCGCAAUGGGCGAAAGCCUGACGGAGCAACGAGGCGUGAGUGAUGAAGGUCUUGGGAGCGGAAAGCUGGGUUAUGAGGGAAGAACAAAUGUGUAAGUAACUAGACAGGGCGUGACGGUACAGAAUAAGGAAGCAACGGCUAACUACGUG
rnacentral:rRNA from 1 species